rnacentral:rRNA from 1 species
CAGCAGCCACGGUAAUACGAAGGGGGCUAGCGUUGUUCGGAAUUACUGGGCGUAAAGGGCGCGUAGGCGGCCAUUCAAGUUAGAUGUGAAAGCCCUGGGCUCAACCUAGGAAUUGCAUUUGAUACUGUUUGGCUUGAGUUCGGGAGAGGUGAGUGGAAUUCCCAGUGUAGAGGUGAAAUUCGUAGAUAUUGGGAAGAACACCAGUGGCGAAGGCGGCUCACUGGACCGACACUGACGCUGAGGCGCGAAAGCGUGGGGAGCGAACAGGAUUAGAUACCCGAGUAGUCCCUGUCUCUUAUAC